GGAGUUGUAGCUCAGUGGUAGAGCACUUCCCUAGCACAUUAGAGGCACUGGGUUCGAUUCUCAGCACCA
rnacentral:tRNA from 1 species